AGUGAACGCUGGCGGUAGGCCUAACACAUGCAAGUCGAACGGCAGCACAGGAGAGCUUGCUCUCUGGGUGGCGAGUGGCGGACGGGUGAGGAAUACAUCGGAAUCUACCUUUUCGUGGGGGAUAACGUAGGGAAACUUACGCUAAUACCGCAUACGACCUACGGGUGAAAGUGGGGGACCGCAAGGCCUCACGCGAUUAGAUGAGCCGAUGUCCGAUUAGCUAGUUGGCGGGGUAAUGGCCCACCAAGGCGACGAUCGGUAGCUGGUCUGAGAGGAUGAUCAGCCACACUGGAACUGAGACACGGUCCAGACUCCUACGGGAGGCAGCAGUGGGGAAUAUUGGACGAUGGGCGCAAGCCUGAUCCAGCCAUACCGCGUGGGUGAAGAAGGCCUUCGGGUUGUAAAGCCCUUUUGUUGGGAAAGAAAUCCUAUCGGUUAAUAACCGGUGGGGAUGACGGUACCCAAAGAAUAAGCACCGGCUAACUUCGUGCCAGCAGCAGCCGCGGUAA
rnacentral:rRNA from 1 species